AAAGUGUCAACAUGCCUGAGUGGAGCCCGAGGCGUGUUGGUCCUCUAAGCAGGCAUAUAUAAGGACCCUCAACCAGUCUGAUCAUCACAGUCAACGUGAAGUAGUCAUCUUGACCUCAUCUAUCAUCAUGAAACUCUUGUCGCUGAUGGUGGUGUUGGUGGUGGCCCUGGCCGCCCUGAUGGGGUCAGCCCGAGCUAUGCCUGACCCCUACGCCCUGCCUGGCCCUGACCCCGCUGCUGACCCACACUAUGGUCGCUACGGCGGCUAUGGAGGUUAUGGAGGCUUCGGCGGAGGUUUCGGAGGUUACAGAGGCUUCGGCGGCGGCUUCUUUGGUUGAUCAAGGAACAUACUCUCGCCGACCCCAAGCAACUCCCAAGAGACGGAUCCUGCCAGAAGACGAACACUCACAAGAAAGCAACAUAGACCACAGCAAGCUUAACAGCUUCAGCACCUCCACCAUCAAGCAGUUACAAUCCCUACCACCUCCACCAUGAUGUUUGGGGAGUGAUUAAUUGUUAAUUCAGUAGCUAGCGACUGAACUGCAUUCUUUAAAUACAAUAAAUGCAUUUUAGCAAA